rnacentral:rRNA from 1 species
GAGCACGUAGGUGGGUUUGUAAGUCCGUCUGUGAAAUCCCUCGGCUUAACCGAGGAACUGCAGCGGAUACUGCAGGACUAGAGUUCAGGAGGGGAGAGUGGAAUUCCUGGUGGAGCGGUGAAAUGCGUAGAUGUCAGGAGGAACGCCGGUGGCGAAAGCGACUCUCUGGACUGGAACUGACGCUGAGGUGCGAAAGCCAGGGGAGCGAACGGGAUUAGAUACCCCGGUAGUCCUGGCCCUAAACGAUGGGCACUAAGUAGAGGGGUUUU